UGGCUGGGGCCGCGCUGAGCUUUGGGAUGUGGGCCUGCUAUUAGAUAAGGAAGAGAGCACACAGAAAGUGAAUCUGUACCUGGCCAAGAAUCUGGGAGUCUGGGUGCCAUCUUUUUCAGGAUGCUACUUGUUUCUUGUUUCGCCCAGGCGCAGGAGAUUUAGGAGGUCGGAAAGCCGGUUGCUGCUUCCGGCUUGGGGGGUUUUUGCCUUGGCUCCGGCCUUAUUUCUGUUUUCCCACAAGGAUGGCUUUGGUCUUUCAUGAAAUGGUCGGGGUUUGGACUUUAUUCAGAGAAUCAGUUGUGUAAGGCAUUGACUCUCCCGCGCAGUAAUCUGUGCAAAGCGCCUUGAGGUAGAGAUGGGUCAUGAGGGCUUGGAGAUGCUUGAAGUAUGGUCCUUACCCACGUAACAUACUGGAGGUCAAGGUGAAAUAUCUGGCUUUGAAAUCUUCAUGGAGGACUACAUCAUUUCAAUCCUGAAUCUGAAUCACUUCCCUUUUUGCCUUCUUAGUGUAUUAAAAGUGUAUUACUUAACUGGUACUGGUUUGGUAAAACCUCUGAGAUGCUACAAGAAUUUUAAAAAAUAACCAUUACACUCUUCUUAUGCUUCCUAAGGAAAUAUGUACAGCUCAUCAGGGAAUCCUCAUGCUGAAGAACUGUAGCAGAUGUCAUAUAACAAAUGGGUCCCAGUAUAUGGAAGAAUUUGUUUUCCUAACGUGUUUAAGUAU